rnacentral:rRNA from 1 species
AAGUCGUAACAAGGUCUCCGUAGGUGAACCUGCGGAGGGAUCAUUACCAAGUACAACCCGUCUCCGGACGGGCUGCUACCAACCCUUUGUUGUCCGACCGCGUUGCCUCCGGGGCGACCCUGACCUCCGGGUCAUGGGGACCCCGGGUGGACACCCAAAACUCUGCGUAACUUUGUAGUCUGAGUAAAAGAUUUAAUAAAUUAAAACUUUCAACAACGGAUCUCUUGGUUCUGGCAUCGAUGAAGAACGCAGCGAAAUGCGAUAAGUAAUGUGAAUUGCAGAAUUCAGUGAAUCAUCGAAUCUUUGAACGCACAUUGCGCCCCGUGGUAUUCCGCGGGCAUGCCUGUUCGAGCGUCAUUUCACCACUCAAGCCUCGCUUGGUAUUGGGCGACGCGGUCCGCCGCGCGCCUCAAAUCGACCGGCUGGGUCGAUCGCACCCUCAGCGUUGUGGAAACUAUUCGCUAAAGGAGUUGUGGUCGGUCACGCCGUGAAACAAACCAAUUUUCAAUGGUUGACCUCGGAUCAGGUAGGGAUACCCGCUGAACUUAA